AGCUUUGCGCAGUGGCAGUGGCCUGUGAGGUUAAUCCGAGGCGCGAUUAUUGCUAGUUGAAAACUCUUCCCAAUACCCUGCCAUGACGACUGGAAAAACAGUUGGCAUUGGCAAUUUUUGAGAGCCUCUUCGGAGG